rnacentral:RNase_P_RNA from 1 species
AUAAGCCGACGGGCGGGUUUCGGGUACUUCCCGGCGACGGGAGUACCUGAGGAAGCUCCACCCUCCGAGGGGGCGCCGCGACCCGGCGACGGGUAGGGUGAGAGCCCUGGCAACGGCUCAGAAACGAGACCCCCCUCGGUAUAUGUGAAUGAUUCAACAUACUAUAAGUUGAUGACUAUGCCGAGGGGUUGGGUGAAACGGCCGACCCGCGGGGAGUAAGGCCAAAUAGGGAUCGAUGAUCUGCCCCCGAGAGAUCCGGGUGGGCCGCUGAGUCGGAUCCCGCUUAAACAGAAGGUGGGCUACGAUCGGCUUAU